rnacentral:rRNA from 1 species
GAGUUUGAUCCUGGCUCAGAACGAACGCUGGCGGCGUGCCUAACACAUGCAAGUCGAACGUGAUCCAGAGCUUGCUCUGGUGAAAGUGGCGCACGGGUGAGUAACGCGUGGAUAACCUACCCUGGUAUCCGGGAUAACAUUCCGAUAGGGGUGCUAAUACCGGAUAAGCCCACGGGCUCUUUGGAGCUUGCGGGAAAAGGUGGCCUCUAUUUAUAAGCUACUGUAUCAGGAUGGGUCCGCGUACCAUUAGCUAGUUGGCGGUGUAACGGACCACCAAGGCGACGAUGGUUAGCUGGUCUGAGAGGAUGAUCAGCCACACUGGAACUGAGACACGGUCCAGACUCCUACGGGAGGCGGCAGUGGGGAAUUUUGCGCAAUGGGGGAAACCCUGACGCAGCAACGCCGCGUGAGUGAUGAAGGCCUUUGGGUCGUAAAGCUCUGUCAGAGGGGAAGAAAUGAUAUAGUGCUAAUACCACUUUAUCUUGACGGUACCCUCAAAGGAAGCACCGGCUAACUCCGUGCCAGCAGCCGCGGUAAUAC